rnacentral:lncRNA from 1 species
GGCCUCUCUCCAUCCUCUCAAACGUUGUGAGCCGCGCCUUAGCACAACCUGGAGGGGAAGAUGAGGUUAAGGUUGCUGGGUACUCCCCCGUUCCUUAGGCCGGAGAUAGCUAAGCACACCGGUCUGCGCCCACGAGAGAGCCCACCUUGCGCUUGCCCUUGGCAAUUUAGCGUAAGAUCGCGAGAGUGCGGGCCUGGGUCCCCGGGAACCGCCCCUGGCGAUUUAGGGGGCUUCUGGAGACUGCAGGCUUGGGUCCUCGGAAGACCACCAUACUCUCCACCCUCGACGUUGUCCUGGUGGGCGCAGUCCUGCGCCUACCCGGGCACCCCAGACUCGCUGCGCGCCCUAGGCGCGGGCGGGAAGGGGUUAAGCAAGGUGCUGGCUCGGGGCGCGGCUCACGGCGCGUGUGGAGGAGGGGAGCGGGGAAGAAAGUGAGAGCGGGGGCGGGGGACCCGAGCGAAAGAACAUCCUGUGCCGCCGCCGGAUGCGAGAGGCGGGGGCGCGGGGGAAGCUGGGCGAUGCGCUCCGCCCCGCGCUCCUCCUCCCGGGCGCUGCCCGCUCCCGCGCUUCGUACUGCUUCUUCUGGUCCCCACGCCUUCGCGGGUCAUGAGCUUGCCAGAGGGGCCCCUCAGCUCGAGUUCCCCGGCAGGGGUAAGCGCGGGGAGUAUGGGAUCCGCUGUGAGGAACGGGCGCCCCCCUCACCCCCCAAGCUUUUUCCGCUGCACACUGAUGGCGAGCUGUCCCCUGCGCAGCGCUAGGAUCGGCACCUUCUCUGAGCCAGUCCUGCUGCCAGUACUUUCAGGACUAACACAGAAAAGCUGGUUGUGGAAUUCGAAGCCCUCACACUCCUGGGAUUAGAACCGGAAUCGGUCGGGCCGCAGGGGGCUUUUCACUGGGAAUAGCGAAGACUCAAAUCCCUUAGCUGAUAAGGCUCGGGAGAGAGGCCUCUCGGAAGUCAUGAUAGGCGCUUGCCGACACAGUUCGAUCCCCAGGUCGCACAAGGUGAAAGGCGAGAGCCACCGAUUUACAUAAAUUGCCCUCUGACCUCCAUACAUGUGCCUUGGACACCCAUGCUUGGGGAAGCCAGGUAUGGUGGCUUUGAACCCAGCACUCAAGAGGCAGACGCAAGAAGAUCUCUAGUUGAGGCCGAGCUCUUGGACUACUACAUAGACUGGGGAAAAAAAAAGUUAAAAAAAAAUAUGGGGGUGGAGGGAGCUAGCUAUCUAGGCAAUGCUCUUUACUUGAUCCAAUCAGAAAAGAGCCUCACCAGCAGAUACAAUGGCGCUAUUAAUGUCAGCUUUUCAAAAUACAGGCUUAGCACCAAACUGCUAUGUAAUGAUGACCUUGAACUUCUGACCACCCAUACCUCUACCUCCGGAGAGUGCGGGCAGGGCAUGGGGGGCGAGGUUACAGAAGUGCAGCACAGCCGGGUGUAUAGCAGACCCUCAACACCACCUGGAGCCCUAAGGACGCUGAAACACCCGUGGCCCACGCUUGGUUGAGGAGAAUGAGGAAGUGGCUUUGGAGUUCCACGGGUGGAUGAUGGGCCUUAGGGGCAGCAGCUCAGCGAAGUGGGCUCAGGGUAUGUACCCUGGUUUGUCGCUAGUGGAGGCAUUGAAGAGGUCUAGGCUUGCCUCCUGCGCUUGAACCUCGUGGAUCCUCAUCAUGACCGGUCAGUAUGUGUCAUGCUGCUUAAUGCGCAGGUUCAGCCUCCACAGGCAGCUCCACGCGGCGGAUCUCCAUCCACGUCCCUUUCCACGGUGGACAAUGUCAGCUAAACUGACCUGCAAGGAAGCCCUGGAUGAUACCAACCCCAGAAGUUGAAAAGCUACCACGGGGUGGGUGCUAGGGCGGGCUGUGACUUUGUUGGUAGGGCCCUUCAGUGCAUGUGGCCAGCCCUGAGUUCAGUCUCCAGCGCCAAAUAAAGCAGACACAACGCACUCAGGAAGAUGGUGGACAUGGUGCUGGGAAUUCAGGGUCAUCAUCAACUCUGUAAGCAGAGUGUGAGGCCAGCCUAAGCCACCGCUCUCAAAAGCUGACAGGGUGUACCUGCUGGGUUUGUGUGACAACUUGACACCAGCUGGAGUUAUUACAGAGAAAGGAGCUUCCCUUGAUGAAAUGCCUCCAUGAGAUCCAGCUGUAGGGCAUUUUCUCAAUCAAGAGUAGGAGGGCCCAGCCCAUUGUGGGUGGUGCCAUCCCUGGGCUGGUAGUCCUGGGUUCAAAAGCAAGCUGAACAAUCGAGGGGAAGCAAGCCAGUAAAUAGCACCCCUCCAUUGCCUCUGCAUCAGCUCCUGCCCCUAGGUAAGUUCCUGUCCUGACUUCCUUUGGUGAUGAACAGUAAUGAGGAAGUAUAAGCUGAAUAAACCCUUUCCUCCCCAACUUCUUAGUCAUGAUGUUUUGUGCAGGAAUAGAAACCCCGACAAGACAGGGAGCUAGAGAGUUGAUUCCAUCACUUAAGAACAUGUGUUGGGGCUGGAAAGAUGGCUCAGCGGUUAACACUGCUCUUCCAAAGGUCCUGAAUUCAAUAUCCAGGAACCACAUGGUGGCUCACAACCAUCUGUAGAGGGAUCUGAUGCCCUCUUCUGGUGUGUCUGGAGACAGCUACAGUGUACUCAUAUACAUAUAAUAAAUGUUAAAAAAAAAAAAAACAAAAAACAGAAAACAACAAAAAAACCACCCAAAA